GGACCAGCACUGCUAACUUUAAGUAAACGUAUCUUUUUGCAGCAAAAACUGAAGAAUGAAGAACUCACUCAUCUUGUGGAGGAGAAACGGAGGGAUGCAGAAAAAAAGCAAAAAGAAGAAGAAGAGAAAGAGAGAGCAGCUGUUUCACGUGCACCAUCCCCUCCUAUCCCUACCCUACAGAAGAAACACUGCAACCCUUCAAAUGCUACGGAUUUCUCUGUGUUUCGGGCUCUUCCAUCUCCAGAAAACAGAAACAGCCAGAGAACAGAGAAGUACAGAAGUGAGGUUGUAAAUGAGCUGUGUGCUUUAAGAAGACGUCUGCGCAGUGAACAGCAGCAUCUGGAGGAGCAGCUCUUGCAGACAGAGUGGGAGCAUCUCCCCUCCCCCUUCACUGACAGGCACAGGAUGGAUGUGUUUGACAUGGCUCGUUUGGGCAUGCCUGUGCGAGGCCCCUCCUCCCGCGGCACUGAGCCAAUCAGCUCAGAGGGGGCCAAUGACGUCAUGUACAGGGAUGCCUUUAUGCCUAGAACAUGGCAGUCUAGGAACAGAGAUGUUGAGGGUGGACGAGGAUCUGUGCUUCUGUCAGAAAGUGAAUUUAUUGGUGGGAUCACACAUUUCUUUAAUUGCUUAAUGAGUGUAACCAGUGGGCCCGAGAUUUGUUUGGACACUUAA
rnacentral:lncRNA from 1 species